AGGUAUGCUUUCCAGAUUUCAGUAGAUCUCGCAAAGUUGCUACGAUGUUGCCCAGCUACAAGUAUAAGUUUCUGCGAGCAACCACAGCCAACGUUCCAAACAGCGUGACGAAAGACAACAGGGGCAGCAAGCUAACCAUUGGAGCCGGGGGCCUCCUCAAAGUCCAGCAUUUAAUCUCCCUCCGCCAGGCGCAGCAGCACAAUAUGGAUCCAAAUCCCACACAGCAGGGCCGCGUUUCUUACGUCGAGUUCUACCUAAUGCCAGACGAAGAAGCGUGAGUACAGCGCUUGAUUAAUAAGAAGAUCAUAAAGGAAAAUAUUUUGUUUUAAGGGUAAAGUACUACUUAGUAUAGGUUUAAUAACUAUUGAUGAACACUAAAGUGUAGGCUUAGAGUCACUUUCUCACAUCGCCGUACCUGCAGGAUUCCAAAAAGGCUCGUCUUGCGGAGCGCAUGGAUGAGCUGAGAGCAUUAACUCGCACCACCAAAGACACCAAAGAUAAGGGCUUUUCGCCUCUAAACACCAUCCUGAUUCACUCUCUCUCCGCUUACCUGGUGAUGACGUGGCAUCAGGCUUUUUUUUUGUUUUAUCUCCAGCGCACUCCCUCUCCCGUCCGUCGCCGCUGCGCACUCCCGCCCG
rnacentral:lncRNA from 1 species